UAGGGAAUUUUCGGCAAUGGACGAAAGUCUGACCGAGCAAUGCCGCGUGAACGAAGAAGGUCUUCGGAUUGUAAAGUUCUGUUAUUUGGAAAGAAAGUGCGUAAUAGGAAAUGAUUACGUAUUGACGGUACCAAUUGAGGAAGCCCCGGCUAACUAUGUGCCAGCAGCCGCGGUAAUACAUAGGGGGCGAGCGUUAUCCGGAAUUAUUGGGCGUAAAGCGUGCGUAGGCGGAAUGAUAAGUCAUUUGUAAAAGAUCUCGGCUCAACCGAGUAAGGCGAAUGAAACUGUCAAUCUUGAGUACGGUAGAGGUAAGUGGAAUUCCAAGUGUAGCGGUGGAAUGCGUAGAUAUUUGGAGGAACACCAAUGGCGAAGGCAGCUUACUGGGCCGGAACUGACGCUGAGGCACGAAAGCGUGGGUAGCAAACAGGAUUAGAUACCCCUGGUAGUC
rnacentral:rRNA from 1 species